rnacentral:rRNA from 2 species
UGCUAUACAUGCAAGUCGAGCGAACAGAUGAGAAGCUUGCUUCUCUGAUGUUAGCGGCGGACGGGUGAGUAACACGUGGGUAACCUACCUAUAAGACUGGGAUAACUCCGGGAAACCGGGGCUAAUACCGGAUAAUAUUUUGAACCGCAUGGUUCAAUAGUGAAAGACGGUUUCGGCUGUCACUUAUAGAUGGACCCGCGCCGUAUUAGCUAGUUGGUAAGGUAAUGGCUUACCAAGGCGACGAUACGUAGCCGACCUGAGAGGGUGAUCGGCCACACUGGAACUGAGACACGGUCCAGACUCCUACGGGAGGCAGCAGUAGGGAAUCUUCCGCAAUGGGCGAAAGCCUGACGGAGCAACGCCGCGUGAGUGAUGAAGGUCUUCGGAUCGUAAAACUCUGUUGUUAGGGAAGAACAAAUUUGUUAGUAACUGAACAAGUCUUGACGGUACCUAACCAGAAAGCCACGGCUAACUACGUGCCAGCAGCCGCGGUAAUACGUAGGUGGCAAGCGUUAUCCGGAAUUAUUGGGCGUAAAGCGCGCGUAGGCGGUUUCUUAAGUCUGAUGUGAAAGCCCACGGCUCAACCGUGGAGGGUCAUUGGAAACUGGGAAACUUGAGUGCAGAAGAGGAGAGUGGAAUUCCAUGUGUAGCGGUGAAAUGCGCAGAGAUAUGGAGGAACACCAGUGGCGAAGGCGGCUCUCUGGUCUGUAACUGACGCUGAUGUGCG